ensembl:lncRNA
AAGAUUUAGAGGACAGUGAGUGGCCUUCACUACACUCCCUUGGGAAGGAAACGAGGCCACUGCCUUCACUUCCUCUGUCCCCACUCAGAAAUAAAAUGGUUAUAGGAAAAGCUGACCUCUCACAUGAAUGCACAGGUAAUUUGCGUUUUUAUUAGUGUCAAAAUCUGACCAAUAUGCUGUACGAUACUUAAAAAUUUUCCUGUAUUUAUAAUUGAUGCAGCUUAGAAAAGUGAAAUGUCCAAAUGUGAAGUUGGAGCACUUUAGUUGGAACACUAGGGGGGAACCAGACUUGGAGUACAUAAUUUAGAUAUUCAAUAACAGACAAUCCAGGUUAGAAAAGAAACUUUCAAUUAUGUCUCAACUGAAUGAAUGAAUGAAUAGAAACUUUGGUAGAACAACCCCUUACAAUGGGAAAACAAAAAUUAGCCAUAAGAGGAAAAAAUGUUUAACAAACUUAGAGAUAUCAUUAUAAAGGAACAAAAGAGCUAAGAUUUGUAAGUAUAUACUAUGUUUCAGGCAUUUCUUAAAUAUUACCCUUGCUUUAGAGAUAAACUGAAGCCCAGAGAUGUUUGAAAACUUGCCCAGCUGGUAAAUGACAGACGCCAGUUCAAACCCAGAUCUUCUAAGCCUCACGGCCUGCCAAAAAAUCUCAUUUUUAGCUAAUGUAGAACUGGGAAUGCUUUUUCCUCACAGACUUAAUAAAGGGGAGGAGAGCUAGAUUCCUAAGCCUAUUCACAAAAGUCUAUUUGGUCUUUAAUGGAAAUGAAAUAAUAAUGCCAUUAAAUGGAACAAUUCCAACAAAGACUGUGAGAGAAAAGAGGAAAAUGCAGUGGUUGACGUCUUCAAGUGUUGGCAUUGUGGUGAUUUUUCCCUUUUAAAAGUCCCUUCCCUUUUUAUUGUUUUCUGUGAAGUGAAAAUAAAAACCAGGACAGGAGACCACCUUACACAUCACUCUAACCAUCUUUCUCUGGCAGGACCCCAGGGCCCUUUGCCAUGGGCACAACAACUGGAGCCCUGGCAUGAAUCCUACAAGGACAGGAACUUCCCCUCCCACCACUGGCCCCAACCUGGAUCCCUGCAGAUAAAGGAGAAGUUUCCUGCUGUGCGUCUGUUCAGGCCCUGCCAACAGACGGCACUUGUCAGCCACUUGAGGACAUGACAAAAGACAAGAGAAGAUACUAGAGAGAGACCUUAGAUUGAAAGCUUCCUUACCUUCUUCUCACACUCAGGAGCAACCAGUAAGCGUGCCAGCUAUAGAUGGAAUGGGAAAAGUACAUUUCUGCUUUCUCUUACAUCAGCAUUCAUCAAAUUGCUCCUGGAUACAGAGAAGGAGCUGCAGUCAUCAAAUGCUUUGGAGCCAGAAAACGGGAGGGUUGUAGCUGACCGUGAGGGAAUAGCAGUUCCCUGGAGGAAAAAGACUUGGAGGCCAGCCCCUUCCUGUCCUGACUGGAUGUGCCUUGCUGUUGGGAGACUCCUGGGAGAGUCAGGAGCCCUGACCCCAGUUUCUUCAUCGAGUCAACACGGAGAUGGUGUAGAUCCCCUUCUAAAUGCCUGUACUCUCAGUGUUGCUAAUGUUACCUGUCCCCAUUCUCCACUAGGGCUCAUUCAUUUCUUCUGUCUCAUAUAUUCAGGUGUUGAAGACAAGAGAAGAAUGAAUCAAAAUGUUGAGGGAAAAAUAGAAUCCAAUGUGUAUUUGUUGAUUCCUCCUUUCAGAGGAUUCUAAGUCCUUUCAUUUACAGCAAUGUUAACAUAAAUUCUUCACAGCCCUUUUGAAAAUGUCUCCUUGAUUUAGGAACCAACCAGUAAAUGUCCUGUGAACGAAUCUUAGAGUCAUUCUCCUCAUGGACGAUCUCUAGGACUGUAGGGAGAGUCCUGGAUUGGGGCCAAAUUGCUGCUGCUAGAGCAAGGGAUGUAUUUGCAAGACCAGCAUAACGGAAAGAGUCUCUCUCAGAUAAAAUGGCAGGGUAGCGUUCCCAGAUACAACGUGUGACCCAUUGUAAGUCCUGCUGUAUUAAACCUGAGGGACUCUGAGAGAAACAGCUGCCUCGAAACAUAAGUGGAAAUUGAACUUAAUGCUCUAAUCACCAUAAAUUGUAGCGAUUAUUUGUGUAAAACCAUCAAUGUACACUAUGACUAAAUGAGUCAUUUACGGAAUAUCCUUUCAGUUAUUAACUUGGCAUAAAUACUAAUCCCUGAAGAUUAAGUUGAACACUAAUCACUUUGAGCAUUCAAGGACCUUUUGUAAUCCUGAGUUUCAUAUUUACAUAUGGUAAUUUCCCCAGUGGUAGCUGAGUAGGGCUGAUCAUUGCUAUGUAAGCAAUAGCAUAUGACAAGGCGUGCUGUAACAAGGAGCAGGGUUUUCAUCUCUUCUCCCAGCUCCUCCCCCUCCAUUCCCAAUUUGAGCUUAAUUAAAACUCCUCAGAACUUGGCUCUGUUUAACGAGAGGGCAAAACAAGCGCUGAAAUGCUGAUGCCUCCUGCAUUCUGCCUGCUGGGUCAGCUCAUUAAGGGUCAUGACGAUAGCACAUCCAGGGUGGCCUGGCCACAGUUCAGGGCAAGGUGCCUCAGAGCAGAAUACACCUCAGCAAGUAAAUCAGCAAUUUGCCUGACUUCUAAAAUGUUUUAAAGAUGAAUUUUAAUUUUUUAAAGUAAUACAUACAUAGAGUUUUUAAAUCAAAUUUAUUUUCUACAAAAUGAGCAGCCGCUUCCCCACCCCCUGCUCUCAAUCCGUUUCUUCUGUUUACCCCAUGUUUGUAAAUAACAUACCUCUCCCAUUCGCCUACCCUUUCAUCCCAAUAUACUUAGAUCACAGUUGAUAUUGCAUUGUUAUGACUAGAUAACUAGUGUUCCGAGCUCAGCCAAGUAAUGUAUAAUUAUACUGCCUUUCUCUUAAAACCCUUUGUUUCUCCCAGUGCCUUUUUUCAUUUGCCUAUAGUUUUAUCACCUUUUUAAAUAAAUGUUCCAACAGAUGUAUCA